rnacentral:rRNA from 1 species
GACGAACGCUGACGGCGUGCUUAACACAUGCAAGUCAAACGGAAAGGCCCUGCUUCUGUGGGGUGCUCGAGUGGCGAACGGGUGAAUAACACGUGAAUAACCUGCCCUUGACUUUGGGAUAACCUCAGGAAACUGGUGAUACUAGCGGAUAUGAGCCCCUGCCGCAUGGUGGGGGUUGGAAGGUUUCGGCGGGUGGGGAGGGACUCGCGGCUUAUCAGCUUGUUGGUGGGGUAGUGGCUUACCAAGACUUUGAUGGGUAGCCGGCCUGAGAGGGUGACCGGCCACAUUGGGACAGAGAUACGGCCCAGACUCCUACGGGAGGCAGCAGUGGGGAAUAUUGCACAAUGGGCGGAAGCCUGAUGCAGAAACGCCGCGUGCGGGAUGACGGCCUUCGGGUUGUAAACCGCUUUCGCCUGUGACGAAGCGUGAGUGACGGUAAUGGGUAAAGAAGCACCGGCUAACUACGUG